GGGUUCCUGCUCCAUGCGUGACACGGGUCGAUUCCGGUGGCCUUAAUCACUCUCGAGGGAGCUGGCUCUGACCGGGCCCUGGUCCGGUUACCUGGCGCCCACCUGUAUACACAGGUCCUCGGGAAUGCAGCACCCCACGGUGCGAGUGGUGCCCGC
rnacentral:other from 1 species